rnacentral:piRNA from 1 species
UAUCAGAAACAGAAUACAAUGGUGGCUGCC